rnacentral:rRNA from 1 species
UACGUAGGCAGCAAGCGUUGUUCGGAAUUACUGGGCGUAAAGAGUGUGUAGGCGGUGUUCUAAGUUUGGUGUGAAAUCUCCCGGCUCAACUGGGAGGGUGCGCCGAAAACUGGAAUGCUAGAGUAUGGGAGAGGUAAGCGGAAUUCCUGGUGUAGCGGUGAAAUGCGUAGAUAUCAGGAGGAACACCUGUGGUGUAGACAGCUUACUGGACCAUCACUGACGCUGAGACACGAAAGCGUGGGUAGCAAACAGG